GAUGAACGCUGGCGGCGUGCUUAACACAUGCAAGUCGAACGGAAAGGCCCAAGCUUGCUUGGGUCCUCGAGUGCCGAACGGGUGAGUAACACGUGUGUGAUCUGCCCUUCACUUCGGGAUAAGCCUGGGAAACUGGGUCUAAUACCGGAUAGAACCACUUCUUGGAUGUUGUGGUGGAGAGUUUUCUCGGUUUGGGAUGAGCUCGCGGCGUAUCAGCUUGUUGGUGGGGUGAUGGCCUACCAAGGCGUCGACGGGGAGCCGGCAUGUGAGGGUGUACGGACACACUGGGACUCUGAUACAGGCCAGACUCCUGAAGGAGGCAGAAGUGGGGAAUAUUGCACAAUGGGAGGAAGCCUGAGGCAGGGAGGUCGCGUGGGCGAUGACGGCCUUCAGGUUGUAAAAUCCUUUCGGUAGGGACGAAGCGAUUUUGUGACGGUACCUAGUGAAGAAGCACCGGCUAACUACGUG
rnacentral:rRNA from 1 species